CGCUCGGCUCAGUGCAGUGUUACAGACAGGGACUAGAGCGAUAACACAGAUACGGAUAUAUUUAUAACGCACGCGUAUUUAUACACACACACAGCGAGAGCGUGUCAGAGAUAUACACAGAACAGACAAAAGAAAGAAAGAAAUACACAGAGUGAGAAAGAAAGAAAGAAAGAAACUGGACCAGAAGAGUGUUGCACAUGGCCGGGAUUAUUUACUCCAUCGCUACACUUUUAUUUGGGAUUUCCGCGGGUAUCAGCACCCUGCAGCGGAUUUAUCCUCCAAACGAAGUUACAUUGCUGGAUUCGAGAUCCGUGCAGGGAGAACUGGCAUGGGUGGCGAGUCCGACGGAAGGAGGGUGGGAGGAGGUGAGCAUCAUGGAUGAGAAGAACGUCCCGAUCCGAACGUACCAGGUUUGUAACGUGUUGGAGUCGAGUCAGAACAACUGGUUGCGCACGCACUGGAUGGAGCGCGGCCCGGCGCAGCGUGUCUACAUAGAGAUCAAGUUCACGUUACGUGACUGCAACAGCCUACCUGGCGCCACGGGUGCCUGCAAGGAGACCUUCAACCUCUACUACCUGGAGUCGGACUCGGAUGAAGAGCACGGUGUACCCGAGCGCCGCUUUGCUAAGAUCGACACAGUGGCGGCAGACGAGAGCUUCACACAGGUGGACGUGGGAGACCGUGUCAUGAAGCUUAACACAGAGGUGCGCACUGUGGGUGCGCUCAGCCAGAGGGGCUUCUACCUGGCCUUCCAGGACGUGGGUGCAUGCGUGGCGCUUGUCUCCGUGCGAGUGUUCUAUAAGAGAUGUCCGCUGGUCGUCAGGAACCUGGCGAGCUUCCCUAAUACAGUAGCAGGUGCAGAUGCGUCGGCGCUGGUGGAAGUGCUUGGUGCGUGUGUGGAGCACUCAGAGGAGCGCCAAGAGCCCAAAAUGUACUGCGGUGCCGACGGGGAAUGGCUGGUGCCCAUCGGGACAUGCUUGUGUCAGCCUGGAUACGAGGAGCGCACUGGCCAGUGUCAAGUGUGUAAGGUGGGAUAUUACCGGUCUUUGGCUACAGAUGGGUCCUGCACUAAGUGUCCUCCACACAGUUACUCCAUGAGGGAGGGAGCUACUGCGUGUGAGUGUGAUAAAGGCUACUACAGAGCAGAGACUGACUCUCCGGCCACGGUGUGCACACGUCCUCCAUCGGCUCCUCAGCAUCUGAUCUCCAGUGUGAACGAGACGUCAGUGUUGCUGGAAUGGAGUCCUCCGCUUUCCACCGGCGGCCGCCGUGACCUCACCUACAGCGUGGUGUGUGAGCGGUGUACGUGGACGUCGGCACGGUGCAUGCCAUGCGGUGACGGUGUGCGCUACUCACCCCAGAGGCUCAGCCUGAACGGCACUCGGGUGUCUGUGCACCAGCUGCAGGCUCACACUAACUACACCUUCCACAUCUGGGCCGUGAACGGAGUGUCCAAAAACAACCCGAAACCUGAGCAGGCCGCAUCCAUCAUGCUUACCACCAACCAGGCUGCUCCGUCAACAGUGAUGUCUGUGCAGAGGAAAGAUGUCACCCGUGACAGUCUUAUACUCUUCUGGCAGGAGCCUGACAAACCCAACGGAGUCAUAUUGGAGUAUGAGGUCAAAUACUAUGAAAAGGAGCAGAAUGAGAGGAGCUAUCGUAUUGUAAAGACCACGUCUCGGAGUGUUAACAUAAAGGACCUGACACCACUGACCUCCUAUGUGUUUCACGUGCGCGCCCGGACCGCAGCCGGUUACGGAGAUUUUAGCGCUCCACUGGAGGUCAUGACCAACUCAGUGCCUUCUCCUGUGGUGGGAGAAGGCAUGAACCCUACCAUCCUUCUGCUGUGUGCUUGUGGCAGCGUCGUUCUGCUCCUCAUCCUCGCCUGUGCGUUCCUCAUCAGAAAGAGGAGGGCCAAAUACAGCAAAGCCAAGCAAGAUGAAGAGAAACACCAAGCAGGAGUGAGGGUGUAUGUGGAUCCGUUUACCUAUGAGGACCCGAACCAGGCCAUCCGAGAGUUCGCUAAGGAGAUAGACGCUUCCUGCAUCAAGAUUGAGAAAGUCAUCGGCAUCGGUGAGUACGGUGAGGUUUGCUGCGGUCGUCUGAAGUUCCCUACGAAGCGUGAGGUGUGUGUGGCCAUUAAGACGCUAAAGGCUGGGUUUACCGAGCAGCAGAGGCGGGACUUCCUGAGCGAGGCAAGCAUCAUGGGCCAGUUUGAUCAUCCCAACAUCAUCCGUCUGGAGGGCGUGGUCACCAUGUGCAAGCCAAUUAUGAUCAUCACCGAAUACAUGGAGAACGGCUCUCUGGACGUGUUUCUCAGAAAGAACGAUGGGCGUUUCACCGUCAUUCAGCUGGUUGGUAUCCUGCGUGGCAUCGCUUCAGGGAUGAAGUAUCUAUCAGACAUGAGUUACGUCCACAGAGACCUGGCAGCACGAAACAUCCUGGUCAACAGCAACCUGGUGUGUAAAGUGUCUGAUUUCGGCAUGUCCAGAGUGCUAGAGGACAAACCUGAGGGAGCUUAUACAACACGGGGAGGAAAGAUUCCGAUUCGCUGGACAGCUCCAGAAGCCAUUGCGUACAGGAAGUUCACGUCAGCCAGCGACGUGUGGAGCUAUGGCAUCGUCAUGUGGGAGGUGAUGUCGUACGGAGAGCGGCCGUACUGGGACAUGAGUAACCAGGAUGUUAUAAAGGCAAUAGAGGAAGGUUACAGGUUACCAGCACCGAUGGAGUGUCCUGUAGCAUUGCACCAGCUCAUGUUGGAGUGCUGGCAGAGAGAGCGCAGCGAGCGGCCCAAGUUCAGCCAGAUCGUCAACAUGCUGGACAAACUGAUCCGCAACCCGAACACACUCAAGAGGAUGGGAGGCGAGACGAGCAGGUCGCACACACAAAAGUCCCACCCAUCAAUACUAAACCACACCCCCUCCAUUGAGCCAUCCCCUUCAUUCAGUUCAGCAGAAGAGUGGCUGAAAGUUAUCGGUCUGGAGAAGUACAGAGAAAACUUCGCUAAGGCCGGACACAGCAGCCUGGAAAGUAUUAUACACAUGAAUCAAGAAGAUUUGGCCAAAAUUGGAAUCUCCUCAAGUGCGCAUCAGAAGAAAAUCUUGAGCAGUCUCCAGGAAAUCCUGUCUGGAAUACAACAAAUAGAAGAGAUAAAGCUUCCUGUCUGAUCUGCAACAGCGCAGUUUAAACCAACAUGAAUGACAAUAUGGAAACAAGAUGGAUAUAAUAUUUUAACUACUCACGCACUUUAAUUGGAUACGGACAAUAGCAGACAGUGGAAUAGCUGCACUUUUGAUGGACUAGUCUGUAUCUCAAGGUCUUCCUGACUGAGGAUUUCUGAAAACUGCAAAAUAAUACUGAUAUAGAUUCAGGAUUUCCUAUCGGAGUCCACUAUGAAAGUGACACUUGAAUGAGCAGUGAGAAUAUUUUUGCUGGGUUUUUUUUUUUUUUUUUUUGAAUGAAGGGAAGCAAUAUCAUCCCCUUCAGGUCAUCUUCUGAACAGCGCUCUUGUUGAUGGAUACAAGUUACUUUUUGGUUCAUUUCUGGGUCCUCUUAAAUACAGAUGUUUUUGUUUUUUGCUCGAGUUUGUAUAUCAGGAACUAUUCAAUUCAAGUUGCCUGGUGACUUUUGAUCAUUUGAGAGAAAACAAACUUUACUAUCUUAAGGGAACAAAGGUCCACAAUUCAGAAACAUUUCUAAGAGGACUAGGAGCAGAUAUGCAGUGUACAGAGAACAUGUGAACCCAGCAUCAUGAAUUUAAUGAGGAUUCCUUCUUCCUGAAUAUAAAUAGACUGCAGCGAGACAUCCUGAGAAACUCAUCACUAUGUUGCGCAAAAUCAAGCACACUCCACAAUUUUUGGAGGAGCUUGAAAUUUUUCUAAAUUACCACAGAUUUCCUGCAGAUUUGGGCCAAGACGCAUCAUGUGAUGUCUGAGAUUCUAGCCUGAACUGUUCAUUUUCUUUUUUUCACACUUGGAAUUUGGGUGUUUCUAAGCAAAUGCAGACAACACAAAAUGGAUCCAUCGAUGCACACGAUAGCUAUAAGUUAGCUAAACUUCUAGCUACUGGUAACUGGUUAGUCUUAAGAUAUAUUCAUGUUGUUUAUUAUGUAAGAACUAAAACACAGCAGGUUGUUAUAGGAAAAAAAUUAACAAUGUGGUGUGAUCCAUAAUUGCUUUGAAAUAAAUUGUUUUCCUAUAACAGCACGUCCCAAACUGUUUGAUUUCAAGUGCUGUCCUCAAGAUUUUCCUGUGGUUUAAAACUUAUUCACGCUGACACCAGAGACUCCUUUGAUAAAUGUUAAAGAUCUCUCAUUACAGAUAUCUUCACCAUUUUAAUAAUUAGAUGCUCUUCUUUAUUAAAUAACAAUCCUUUCUUAUCCAUUUACUAGAUUAUGUAGAUCAUCCAAAAUACAAGUCUCUAUGAAUGAGCUGAUAUUAUAAAACGGAUAAUGUAUUAGAACAAAUGCAUUGAUAUAAACUUGUGAUUUGCUCUAAAAGCUGGAAUUCUCUGAAUUAUCAGAGCUGUUCGUGUAGAAAAUGAAUCAGCCAAUUAUUCGGACCAAUCAGAUUCAAGAAUACAACAGAGCUGUGAUAUGUCAUGAACAGAAAUCAAUAAUGAAGGUUUGAUAGACAUUACACUCCUGCCUUUAACAGGGGAAGCUGUUGACAUUUUGUCAGUCAUAUUUGUUUGUAAUUUGACUUUACAGACUGUCUGAUAUUUCAGAAAAUUCACUUUUCAGCUAAAAAAAAAAAAAGAUAUGAAUGAUUUUUGUAUAUGCACGUAAUUGAGGUAGUACUUGUACAUGAUGUGAACACACAUGCCUGACAUUUCUAUUGUAUUGAACUACUGGAUAAUACAAGACCUUCAGAAAAUCAUUGUAUAUUCCAUAAUGGAGACAUAUACAAAAUCCAUUUAAACGCCAAGAUUGUGGCCUUAAUAUGUUUGGGAAACUGUCCCUGAUCAUCUCACCAAACUUCAGUUCCACAGACCAGAUCCCAGACUCCUAGACAUGAACUGUUCUUUUACAGCUCUGUUGUUCCUUUAUCUCUGUCCAAGAACCCAGCUCGUGUUUUGGGGACAUUUCACAGAUUAAUGUGUUUCCCGGCACACUAAAUCAUUUUAUAUGUACAUAAAUCAUUGUUGUUUUGCUAUGACAUGAACAUAACUGAUGAAAUUCCAACGUUAAAUCUGUUUUAAGCAUAUGCAAAUAAUAAAAUAAAAACAGGAUCUGAAUGUAUUACAUGAUGUGAUGUUACUGUACAUUUUGUAUUAGACUCUUACAGUAUGUGAUUUAUUCAUCCAGCUUGAAAUAUUUCUUCCUUUCUGUAUCUUGAUUAAGUUAGACACAUGUAACUUGUGGGUUUUAUUUAUGGAAUUUUGUAGUUUGCAAAAUAAAGAGGAGAAUA